GAUGAACGCUGGCGGCGUGCCUAAUACAUGCAAGUCGAGCGAACAGACGAGGAGCUUGCUCCUCUGACGUUAGCGGCGGACGGGUGAGUAACACGUGGAUAACCUACCUAUAAGACUGGGAUAACUUCGGGAAACCGGAGCUAAUACCGGAUAAUAUAUUGAACCGCAUGGUUCAAUAGUGAAAGACGGUUUUGCUGUCACUUAUAGAUGGAUCCGCGCCGCAUUAGCUAGUUGGUAAGGUAACGGCUUACCAAGGCGACGAUGCGUAGUCGACCUGAGAGGGUGAUCGGCCACACUGGAACUGAGACACGGUCCAGACUCCUACGGGAGGCAGCAGUAGGGAAUCUUCCGCAAUGGGCGAAAGCCUGACGGAGCAACGCCGCGUGAGUGAUGAAGGUCUUCGGAUCGUAAAACUCUGUUAUUAGGGAAGAACAAAUGUGUAAGUAACUAUGCACGUCUUGACGGUACCUAAUCAGAAAGCCACGGCUAACUACGUG
rnacentral:rRNA from 1 species